rnacentral:lncRNA from 1 species
AGCAYUGCAGAAGGAAUACCUAAGAAAUGCUGUAAUGCUAAAUAAUUCUGACAUCCCUGCAAACUGAUCUGACUGGGGAGGGUUACUCAACUCGCUGUACUUAUCCAUGCAAGGACUGGUGUGAAGGAGUGGGUUUCCCAUUUCUGCCUUGUUUGAACUGAAGAACUUGAUAUAAAGCCACAGAAUUUGUGUGGGCUGGAAAGAAAACAUUCUUGGAAGAGGAAAUUCAGCUCUAAAAUAUAUUUUAAAAGCCGUCCAUCCUCUGCUGGCACUUCUGGCUGCUCUCCCUUGUUUGGCAGGUCCAGCUGCAUCAGGGCUGGAGUCACUUGGUGCUGCAGCAGGUAACGCAAGAGCAUCACGGGCCUGAGCAGARUUGGUCAAACCUGGCCCUGGCAGAUAGUAGGAACCACUGUAUGAGCCGUGUCCUGCGUCCCCAGGGAGAUGGAGAACCAAAGCCGG